GGAAAGGUGGCAGAGCGGUUGAAUGCGUCGGUUUCGAAAACCGAUAUGCCCGCAAGGGUAUCGGGGGUUCGAAUCCCCCCCUUUCCGCCA
rnacentral:tRNA from 1 species